rnacentral:rRNA from 1 species
GACGAACGCUGGCGGCGUGCCUAAUACAUGCAAGUUGAGCGAUGAAGAUUGGUGCUUGCACCAAUUUGAAGAGCAGCGAACGGGUGAGUAACGCGUGGGGAAUCUGCCUUUGAGCGGGGGACAACAUUUGGAAACGAAUGCUAAUACCGCAUAACAACUUUAAACAUAAGUUUUAAGUUUGAAAGAUGCAAUUGCAUCACUCAAAGAUGAUCCCGCGUUGUAUUAGCUAGUUGGUGAGGUAAAGGCUCACCAAGGCGAUGAUACAUAGCCGACCUGAGAGGGUGAUCGGCCACAUUGGGACUGAGACACGGCCCAAACGCCUACGGGAGGCAGCAGUAGGGAAUCUUCGGCAAUGGACGAAAGUCUGACCGAGCAACGCCGCGUGAGGGAAGAAGGUUUUCGGAUCGUAAAAAUCUGUUGGUAGAGAAGAACGUUGGUGAGAGUGGAAAGCUCAUCAAGUGACGGUAACUACCCAGAAAGGGACGGCUAACUACGUG